AGGGAAUAUUGCGCAAUGGGGGAAACCCUGACGCAGCAAUACCACGUGAGUGAGGAAGGCCUUCGGGUUGUAAAGCUCUGUCCUAUGGGAAGAAUGGCGAUUAAGCUAAUAUCUUAGUCGAUUGACGGUACCAUAGAAGAAAGCACCGGCUAACUCCGUGCCAGCAGCCGCGGUAAUACGGAGGGUGCAAGCGUUGUUCGGAUUUACUGGGCGUAAAGCGCGCGCAGGCGGGUUUUUAAGUCAGAUGUGAAAUCUCGGGGCUUAACCCCGAACGUGCGUCUGAAACUAAAAAUCUAGAGUGUCAUAGGGGGUAGGGGAAUUUCACGUGUAGGGGUAAAAUCCGUAGAGAUGUGAAGGAACACCGGUGGCGAAGGCGCCUACCUGGAUGACUACUGACGCUGAGGCGCGAAAGCGUGGGGAGCAAAC
rnacentral:rRNA from 1 species